AGUUAAAGUAACAAGGCUGUGUGUGUGUCUUAUCCUCAGAUUCAAGGGUCAAGAGAGUGGCUGGAGCUAAAGGCAAGAAAGUCAAAAGAGAAGCCGAGUUAGGGCUGGUGGCAGCUGAUCCCAGAGCUAAGUGGAGUGGAACAAAAGAGAUGUUGGGAGGGGCUGUUAUCGUGGCCUCGGAAAGGCGGUAGCAUUUUAAAACUACAUGCAACAGGGAGUGGCACUUUUAGAAGAUGUGUUCCUGUUGGAGUGGUUGUGACCUUAUUGGAGGAAGUGUGUCACUAUGGAGGCAGACUUUAAGACCCUCAUCCUAGCUGCCUGGAAGUCAGUAUUUUGCUAGCAGCCUUCAGAUGAAGAUGUAGAACUCUCAGCUCCUCCUGUACCAUGUCUGCCUGCACAUUGUCAUGCUCCCACCUUGAUCAUACUGGACUGAACCUCUCAACCUGUAAGCCAG
rnacentral:lncRNA from 1 species